CCCUUCGGGGGACAAAGUGACAGGUGGUGCAUGGUUGUCGUCAGCUCGUGUCGUGAGAUGUUGGGUUAAGUCCCGCAACGAGCGCAACCCUUAAGCUUAGUUGCCAUCAUUAAGUUGGGCACUCUAAGUUGACUGCCGGUGACAAACCGGAGGAAGGUGGGGAUGACGUCAAAUCAUCAUGCCCCUUAUGAUUUGGGCUACACACGUGCUACAAUGGACAAUACAAAGGGCAGCGAAACCGCGAGGUCAAGCAAAUCCCAUAAAGUUGUUCUCAGUUCGGAUUGUAGUCUGCAACUCGACUACAUGAAGCUGGAAUCGCUAGUAAUCGUAGAUCAGCAUGCUACGGUGAAUACGUUCCCGGGUCUUGUACACACCGCCCGUCACACCACGAGAGUUUGUAACACCCGAAGCCGGUGGAGUAACCUUUUAGGAGCUAGCCGUCGAAGGUGGGACAAAUGAUUGGGGUGAAGUCGUAACAAGGUAGCCGUAUCGGAAGGUGCGGCUGGAUCACCUCCUUU
rnacentral:rRNA from 1 species